rnacentral:rRNA from 1 species
AUUGAACGCUGGCGGCGUGCCUAACACAUGCAAGUCGAGCGGUAACAGGUGUAGCAAUACAUGCUGACGAGCGGCGAACGGGUGAGUAAUGCUUCGGAAUCUGCCCAUGUAGUGGGGAAUAACCAGCCGAAAGGUUGGCUAAUACCGCAUACGACCCUUGCCCACAAGGCAAAGGUGAAUGCAGGGGAUCGCAAGACCUUGCGCUAUUGGAUGAGCCGAAGUCGGAUUAGCUAGUUGGUAGGGUAACGGCCUACCAAGGCGACGAUCCGUAGCUGGUCUGAGAGGACGACCAGCCACACUGGGACUGAGACACGGCCCAGACUCCUACGGGAGGCAGCAGUGGGGAAUAUUGGACAAUGGGCGCAAGCCUGAUCCAGCGAUGCCGCGUGUGUGAAGAAGGCCUGCGGGUUGUAAAGCACUUUCAGAAGGGAAG